GGAUGAGCCCGCGGCCUAUCAGCUUGUUGGUGAGGUAACGGCUCACCAAGGCGACGACGGGUAGCCGGCCUGAGAGGGCGACCGGCCACACUGGGACUGAGACACGGCCCAGACUCCUACGGGAGGCAGCAGUGGGGAAUAUUGCACAAUGGGCGAAAGCCUGAUGCAGCGACGCCGCGCGAGGGAUGACGGCCUUCGGGUUGUAAACCUCUUUCAGCAGGGAAGAAGCGAAAGUGACGGUACCUGCAGAAGAAGCGCCGGCUAACUACGUGCCAGCAGCCGCGGCCG
rnacentral:rRNA from 1 species